GUAAAUUGGUGGGUUGUUGAUGUUUGAUUGAAUGGUAUUGGUCUUGUGGUUAUUAAUGGAUGAUUAAUCUCUUAAUAUGACAUUUUGAUUAGAUUUCCACUUUGCUUACCAAACUGUAUAACCACUUAUUCAACAAGGAGGAAAAAUAUGUACAUGAAAAUUGGAACUUUUCAAUGCAGCCAAUGAACUUUUCCUCCACUCUCUUUUGCUUCUAACAGAGACUCCCUCUCUCCCUCCUCCAAAGCAGUGCUCUGUAUUUCCA
rnacentral:misc_RNA from 1 species